UACGUAGGGGGGCAAGCGUUUGUCCGGAAUCAUUGGGCGUAAAGAGCGUGUAGGCGGCCCGGUAAGUCCGCUGUGAAAGUCCAGGGCUCAACCCUGGGAUGCCGGUGGAUACUGUCGGGCUCGAGUCCGGAAGAGGAGUGUGGAAUUCCUGGUGUAGCGGUGAAAUGCGCAGAUAUCAGGAGGAACACCAAUGGCGAAGGCAGCACUCUGGGACGUGACUGACGCUGAGACGCGAAAGCGUGGGGGAGCAAACAGG
rnacentral:rRNA from 1 species